rnacentral:rRNA from 1 species
UGGGGAAUUUUGGACAAUGGGCGCAAGCCUGAUCCAGCCAUGCCGCGUGUGGGAAGAAGGCCUUCGGGUUGUAAACCACUUUUGUCAGGGAAGAAACGGUUUGUCCUAAUACGGCGAACUAAUGACGGUACCUGAAGAAUAAGCACCGGCUAACUACGUGCCAGCAGCCGCGGUAAUACGUAGGGUGCAAGCGUUAAUCGGAAUUACUGGGCGUAAAGCGUGCGCAGGCGGCUUUGCAAGACAGAUGUGAAAUCCCCGGGCUCAACCUGGGAACUGCAUUUGUGACUGCAUGGCUAGAGUGCGGCAGAGGGGGAUGGAAUUCCGCGUGUAGCAGUGAAAUGCGUAGAUAUGCGGAGGAACACCGAUGGCGAAGGCAAUCCCCUGGGCCUGCACUGACGCU